CCUCCCCUUGCGCUCUGGCUUUUCUUCUCUACGGUGUUCGGCGCCUUGCCCUUCUCGUCGCCUCGUCGCGCUUGCGUUUUUCGCUCUCCUCGCUCUUCGUUCCGUUUCUUCUUCUACUACGGUUGAUUGAUUCGUUUCGCCGCCUUUGCCCUUCGGUGCUCUCAGAUUGCUCGGGGCGGUCGCGCGCGCCCCUCCGUGCGGGUGUGGCGCGGGGAACGAGCCGAGUUUGGUCGAGUUGUUCGGUUUCCGGUUUAAUUUUUCCAGUGAUUCGAUCCUCCAGUAUUUUCGUUUCGAUAAUCGUUUUCCGCCAUCUUCGCCUUCUCAGCGUGUGGGUUGCAGGGUUACCCGUCCCGAUUGGGGAGUGGAGGCGGGGGUUCCUCAUGGCGUCGUGUGGCAAGGAGGUCGAGGCAGGUCAGUCUCUCGUCAGAUCCGGCGGUUCAUUGGUUUUAUCACCCGGAGGAUCGGUGGUUUCAGGCUUAAUCGUCCCGGUGUGAUCUCGUCCUAUGGCCUCGGGUUACCGAGCGGUCUUCUCCGGUAGUCUAAUGGGUCAAGGUGGAUUCGAGACCUCGGUCGAUUCUUAUUUUAACGGCUGAUCUCGUUUGUGGUGGGGUGCUUGUCCUGCUUUUAGAUGCAGAAAGAGGAGGGGUCCUUGCUGGUUCAGGAGAGAUUAGUUGAAGGGUGGAGGUUUGCUUAUGGUUUCCUUCGUCGAUUUUGAUUUGUUAUGGUCGAUUUCGUAUCAUGGUGGCUUGAAGGUCGCCACCUAUGAACUUAACCCGUAUGGGAAUUGCUGUUAGCUGGAUCUGCAGAGGAAACAAACAGAGGUGUAAGUUUUGGAGCCUGAUUGAGGCGUUGUCUGGAGUUUAUAUCGCCGCGAGAACAUCACCGUUUGGAUAUCUCUACCCCAGUUCCUUCUUAUUGGUCCUUACUCUUAUGUCUGUCUGCUGCAAUUCUGAUAUCUGGGCUGCUGGUUCUUCUCCAGCAAUUGGAUUGUAUGGACGGAUGGAUUGGAGGCGGGUUUGAUUCUGCUUGAGUAAUCGGAACUGAGAAGUGUUCCGUGUGUUUGUUCACUGAUUUUUCUCUCCUGUCAACAUUUUUCGGCAAUUAACUUUCCCCAUAGGCUACCAUUGAUGCUUCGUUAGUAAUUCUGCAGUUUGCGGAGGCACACAAAUAGAACUGUCAGCUGGAUUAGUCAACGAUCGACCAGGCUUUAUCCCUAUUCCUGCAUUUUGAUGAUAGAUUUGUUUAAGGUUCAAAUUGAUGGUUAUCAUAGAGUGGCCUCUCACUAAUUGCAGAUCGCUUGGUGAUUGCACAGGAGCUAUAGGAAGCCCACUGAAUCUCUGCAGCUUUUCAAAACUAUUCUCAUCUUGUUUGUUGAGUGGAUUCUACCUCAAAAGUAGAUAAUGAUCAUAGCAUGGUCAUUAUUGCAGGUCACCAGCUGAUAUUUUUGCAAGAGUUGUUGGUGCCGAUUGGAAUGUGUUGGGAGUGCCUCUUAACCUAUUCUAAUUUAGAGAACCUGCCAUAUUUUUUGGAAUUAUGAUAAUUUCUCAGUUUAAAAUUUGGAUACUAUGAUGAUCAACAUGCAGUGGUAGAAGGUUCCGAGCAUAUUUGGGGGAUUCAAGCGACGUGGGGGAAUUUUAUGGCUACAACAUACUUACACUCAUUUCUAAACUUUGCUCUGUUUCAUCAUGUUAUGCUUUGAACAUAGCUUUAAUCCGGUGUUGCUUCUCUAUGUUCGCAGAUCAUUUAGCCCAACUAGUUGCUAGUUCAUCCAUCUGAUUUGGUCAUAAAAUGUUCGGUUUGGGAUUUCUCUCUGGUUUGAUUUGCUCUAUCUAUAUUUUUGUGCGUGCUUCUUCAUGUGGUGGCUGCAGGAUUAGUUUGGCAUUGGGAACUUCCUGCAUCUAAGAACUGGUACUUGAAAUUGGGGGCAGGUCAGAGUCUAGUGCACGAUUUUGGUUAGUAUUGGUUCCAUUACUUGUAUUCAGUCUUUUCAGAUCUGAAUGGUUGGAUGAUAUUUUGCCUCUCCAAUGGGAUGAUGACGAGGUUUGAGACUCUGAAUUUAUUCAGUAUUGUAUAAGCUGAUCUUUGUUCUGGUGUGUUUUGUGUCAUUCAGAGAUGCAGGUGGGGCAUUGGUUGUGGAGGUUGGUUGAUGUAGAAGGUUUGGUUAUGGUUGACAGUAGUUUUGCUAUUUCUGUGUCAUAUUAUGAUGAUAUUAGACAUUACAUCUUUAAUGCCAGCGCUUCAAUUGUGAUCGAUGUUCAAAUCUAUAGAAUGCUUGGAAGCAACACUUUGACUGGAAAAAAAAUUAUUACUUUGGAUUGGCAUCAAUGUUCAAAUCUGUAGGAUGCCUGUAAUUAUGUGGAUGAGUUCUUUUGUGCCGUAACAAUUGAAAUUAUAAGGAGGAUUCUAGUACUUGUCAUAUAAUUUCUGCAUCCAUCUGUUAUCUGUUAUUAUGAUCAAUCACUUAAAUUAUAUGGAUGCUUAGGAAUUCAUAUGUGCUUCCUAUCCAGUUAGUUUUUUCAACCAGUAAGGCUUUCAAGUUAUUGCAGAUGUGACACACUUGUUGAGCUAUAAUUUUCUGAUCAUUUGUUGCAUGUCUCAUGCCUCUUCUCUACCAAGCCAGGCCUAUCACUAUCCUAGGAACUCACCAUGAUUCUAAGGAACCUAAAAGAGUCCUUUGGUAAUUUCAGGCUUAGAAAGUUCAAUUUUUGCAAGUUAAAUCCGAUAUAUCUUCCAAAUUCCACUGCCUUCUUUACUUCUGUUGACCAGAGAACUUAUGGAUAGUGUACAUUGAUGAUUAUUUGGGGACCUGCGGAGUACAUUCUGAAGCUGUUUGAAUGCACCAUGGUUGCUUGAUGAUCAACAUCUGCAAGAAAGAUCCCUCUGCCCAGAGUCUGCCCAAACUAUUUCCUCUGUUGUUGACUACACAUUACUUUCCAGCUUGCUCGUUCAACUUCGUUUGAUGGUUGUUUGGUUGGUUUCCAGUUAUCUGAGAAUAUGGAUGCUUGGUUUCGAGUAAUGGAGCACUUUAUAAGAUUCUUCCUUCUAACCAGAGUUCACUCCUAAUAUCUGGAACUUCUGUUUUGGAUCCACUUUGACAGCUGUUUGGUUGGUUUAUAAUAACUGCUAAGGCAUCCCGAGAGGCUAUUUUCAUCUAUGGAUUCUUCUAGUCAUUUACAAUCCUUUCACAAGCUUAUUGAUGGUUCUGAAACAGUCCUUACCCUAGAUGUCUCAUCCAAUGGUGCAGGUUCACUGUUUGAGUUGAUUUCCAACUCGACUCUUCUGAACUUUGUUCUGUUAUUCCCACAUUUGGAGUCACAUCAGUUCAUUUUAUCUUUAUGGAUCAAUGGAUCAAAACCAAGGAUUGCUCUCGGCCAAAGAGAAUCUAUCUGAACUAACAUGUUUGGUUGAACGAUUGCUGCAUUUGAGCCUAUACACCAUUUGGUUUCGCACUUUCUGCUUUGUGGCAAGCUUCUCUAAUACUCUAAGAUGGAACUGGAGUCUUCUGUUUGCUUCUUGCGUGGUGGUCAUUUUUAUGGCGGAGGUCAGAUUUACUGGACAGUGUUAGAGGAAUGAAGUCAUCCUGGUUCAGAUUGAUGUGCUGAUUUGCUGGGCUUGAAGUCGAAGAGCUUUAGGAUUGAGCUGUAGAGUGAAGUUUACCUCAGAAGCUUAGGUGCUUGCUUUAAGUAACCUACUGGAUUUUCCCACCCUGACUUGUAUUGGUGAACUUGAAUCGUGUGCUUGGUUCCAUUUGUGUGUUAGUUGUUCAGAUUUGUUGGAGAGUCUGUUUGGUGAAGCUCUGUUAUGUUGACAAUAUGUUAUGUGGUUGGUUGAAUAGUGUUCUUAGGUUAGCUACAGACUAGGAUGUUAGACUUGCAAUUUUGGUUAGGCAACAGACUUCUUGUUCAAGUGGUUCAAGCGACGACAUAGCAAAAGUAUGCUGACAUUUUAAGUAAAGUACUAUGAUGGCAUUAUUUGCACUUAUUGGAUCUGAGAUAUGAGGAUGCUAAAAUGAAGAAUAUUAUUAUUAGCCAAAAACAAUCACCAACUUCUGAAUUGGUUUGCCGGACCUGAAAAAAAUAUCUGGAACAGUUAGUAGGACACUACUUUUAGUCUUGAGCUGCUGCCUGUUUGUUUUCUAUCAGUGGUCAUGAAGCUUACCGAUGAUGUCAGUUUUUUGUGAUAAGGUGAAACUGUACAAGAUGAGGAUUGCCCAAUGUUGUGUGCUUGUGGACUUCUCUAGCUCUUUGUAGUGCUGUUGGUUUGGACUCUGCACUUCGAGGUGUUCUCUCCUGUGAGCCAAGUUCUGAAUUGGGUUCUUGAUCAUGGAGUGAUUUUUUUCUGAAGCUGGUCGUUGUGGCAAUUGAAUUUGUUCACAUGGAAUUGUAGAAUCUGCAUUGGCCACCUCGAUAACUCUUAAUUUUCUUGAAUAAGAUUUGCUAAAACCGUGUUACAGUCCACACCUUUUUCAUCCUCCAGAUCCAGUUAUCUGUUCUUGUACCUUGGUGCCAACUGACCUGAAGUCUUACUUUUUUCCUGAUUGUUAAAUCAAAUAAACUGCAAAUGGGGACACUAUUUGCCAGAGCAAACUGACUAGGCUGCGACACUCUGGAUGUCUUGCUGAUGUUCACAGCAUGUGUCUUUUCUUGCAAGUUUAAUUUAAGUUCACAUUUCACAGCAUGUUUUUCUCUUGCAUGUUUAAUUUGACUUUUCACAUGUCAAAGAUAUGCCUUGUUUAGGCUCGAAGAAUCUUUUUCAUAUAAUUUUUUCCAAACUAGUCAGCUUUUUGUAAGCUAGGCCCUUUUUAUAUAUGCUUAUAUGCGCAAGUCUUUGCAUGUUGGUUGCUUGUGUUUGAGCUUAGGACCGUGGUUUGUUGUUUGUUUGUCUUUUUGAUUUGUGGUUGCUUGUUUGUUUGCGGUUUAACACUGCCUUUGCCGGUCCCAAGCCCGGAUGAGAAAAUGUGGAGGGAACUGCAAGUGGCUCAGCUGCAUGAUUGGCAUUUAGGAAUGUUAUGAAUGUUAUUGGGAGACAAAUUGUGGUAUAGUUAAAACAGCUAGAGGCUGAAGGCUUGAAUAGAGGAACUACCAUCAUGGCAACUA